AUACGCUUUAAUCCAUACUUUAGAUGUCAACACCUUCGAGUUUAUCAGCAAUCUUUACCUGAGUAAAUAAUCAACCUGCUGCCAAACAAUGUUGUAAAAUCAAAGCAACAAUUUGUUGUUCGUUUAAUUAGUUACUCAUAAAAUUAAAGAGAACUCAGAGUUUACUUGGAAGGUAAAUUAAAUAGAAGUACCCCGCCAACUAUAAACAAUUAGUUUCAAAGGUUAAGCAGACUAGGAUAUACAGGAACUUUACAUCCAAGACAUCAUCAAAUAUGCUAUUCCCCCAAUGUUAUACGCAACAAAUGGAUGCCUUCGUAAGAAUUGAUAUCGACGUUUGGUGAACACAGCACGAAACGUUAAAAACUUAUUCACUACUUUUUGGAGAAGUACGCAUCUUCCAAAUGUCUUCACUAUUCGGCCCUUGCCUAAACUUCAUCCACUGCUGAAGACGCCGCUUACGAAGCCCUUCUUGAGCCUCUUCGUGAGCCUUCGACUUGGUUGACAGACACCAUUUAAAGUCUUUAAAAUUUCCCUUACAUCUGUUGUAUUCACCAUAACGAUAGUAAUGAUUCAUUUGUGAGAACACUGUUAAACACAUGGCCAUUUGGUCAAAGUAAUACUGUAAACUACACGGAUCCUCAGGAAUCCCUUUUUUCAAGUCGAGUA